GGCUACCACAUCUAAGGAAGGCAGCAGGCACGCAAAUUACCCAAUGAACGAAGUUCGAGGUAGUGACGAAAAAUAACGAUAGCGGACUCAUCCGAGGCCCGCUAAUUGGAAUGAGUACACUUUAAAACCGUCCCCGAGGAUCUAUUGGAGGGCAAGUCUGGUGCCAGCAGCCGCGGUAAUUCCAGCUCCAAUAGCGUAUAUUAAAGUUGUUGUGGUUAAAAAGCUCGUAGUUGGAUCUCAACAGACCUGGAUCGGUUUACUUUGUGUAAUACUGAUCCAGAGCUGUGCUUUUGAUGGAGGUUUAGGGGUGCUCUUAACCGAGUGUCUCUGAGUGCCAUCAGGUUUACUUUGAAAAAAUUAGAGUGCUUCAAGCAGGCUUUUAUGCCAGAAUAUUUGUGCAUGGAAUAAUAGAAUAGGAUGUUGAUCUUAUUUUGUUGGUUUUCGAGACUUGACAUAAUGAUUAAUAGGGACAGUCGGGGGCAUUUGUAUUCAAACGACAGAGGUGAAAAUUCUUGGACCGUUUGAAGACAAACUACUGCGAAAGCAUUUGCCAAGAAUGUUUCAUUAAUCAAGAACGAAAGUUAGAGGUCGAAAGGCGAUUAGAUACCGCCCUAGUUCUAACCAUAAACGAUGCCAGCUAGCGAUCUGCUGACGUUUUUACUGUAGACUCAGCAGGAAGCUUCCGGGAAACCAAAGCAUUUGGGUUCCAGGGGAAGUAUGGUUGCAAAGCUGAAACUUAAAGGAAUUGACGGAAGGGCACCACCAGGAGUGGAGCCUGUGGCUUAAUUUGACUCAACACGGGAAAUCUCACCAGGCCCGGACACUGGAAGGAUUGACAGAUUGAUAGCUCUUUCUUGAUUCGGUGGGUGGUGGUGCAUGGCCGUUCUUAGUUGGUGGAGUGAUUUGUCUGGUUAAUUCCGAUAACGAACGAGACUCUGUCCUGCUAAAUAGUGUUAUCUUCUUUUUUGAGAUGACAAUUCUUCUUAGAGGGACUGGCAACUCUUAGUUGCACGAGAUUGAGCAAUAACAGGUCUGUGAUGCCCUUAGAUGUUCUGGGCCGCACACGCGCUACACUGAAUAGAUCAACGUGUCACCCUUCCCGAAAGGGACGGGUAAACCGCUGAACCCUAUUCGUGGUAGGGAUCGGGGCUUGCAAUUAUUCCCCGUGAACCAGGAAUUCCCAGUAGGCACAGGUCAUAAGCCUGUGUCGAUUACGUCCCUGCCCUUUGUACACACCGCCCGUCGCUACUACCGAUUGAACGUUUUAGUGAGGACCUCGGAUUGUGUUUCAGUUGGCUCACGCUGACUGUUUUGCGAGAAGACGUCCAAACUGAAGCGUUUAGAGGAA
rnacentral:rRNA from 1 species